rnacentral:rRNA from 1 species
UACGAGGGGGGCAAGCGUUGUUCGGAAUUAUUGGGCGUAAAGAGCGCGUAGGCGGUGCGGUAAGUCACCUGUGAAAACUCUGGGCUCAACUCAGAGCCUGCAGGCGAAACUGCCGUGCUUGAGUGUGGGAGAGGUGCGUGGAAUUCCCGGUGUAGCGGUGAAAUGCGUAGAUAUCUAGAGGAACGCCAAAGGUGAAGACAGGCGACUGGUUUGCAACUGACGCUCAUGGACGAAAGCGUGGGGAUCAAACGGG